GAAUCCCUACGGGAGUGAAGGUGUUAAUUUUUGUUUCGGGUCGCUAAGAGAGUUUGAGUGGUCUCGAAAUUCAGAGGUAGUUGAGGUUGAGUUGUUAGUGGGAAGUUGAGAUAUUGUGGGGGUUUUAUUUUGAUUAUAUUUUUUUAUUUAAUUUUAUCAUUAUUCUUUUUCCCUAAAAAUCAGCCAUUGUUUUCACAUUCUUUUCUUUUCGGUUCUCAUACGUUUCUUCUUGUUUUUUUUCUUUUUGUUCCUAUUCCCUUUCUAAUUCAAACGAAAUUCUAGUGUUAUUUGGUCAUCUCUGUCGUGGAGUUUGG
rnacentral:lncRNA from 1 species